AUGCUGUCUCUAGCGAAGUAUAUAGCAACAGACUGCUUAGCAAGCAGCUUACAAGCCUGCUCAUACAUCAAGGCAUUGUGAAUUCCAAGGCCACAGAAGAUUGCAAAUGCCUGUUGGAAGCUCCUGGGUGAAGAUCAAAGGCCUUGGAAAAUAUGGUCGCUUGCUAUUAAACAGUUUCGCAAGACUCAUCCCUGAGGAAAACCAUACAUCUUUCAACAUCAAGUAAUUGUUGUACCUCAACCAUAAUGUUAUGGACACAUGUAUCUAGGUUACUCUGCUCUUCAAAUAUUCCACGUGCAAGUUGAAGAAGGAUCUACAAUUCAGUCGGUACACCACAUGGCAAACCCAGAUCACAAUUUGGUUAUAUAACAGUAUUGUGCAAUUAAAGUAAUGUGAGUGAAAAUCGGCAA